AGGCUUCCGGGAUGGGAGUCGGCCCUUCCCGGAGCUUGGGGGUGGCAGGGCUCCCCCGGGAGUUCCGCCGGCAGCUCCCGCUCCCGCCCCUGCCCCGCCAUGCUCCGCGCACCCAGCAGGCGGCGCUGUGGGGCCGCCGCGCUCCCGCCGCCCGCGAUUCCUGUCUCCGGGGAAUGGCAGCGAAGGGAGCAGGCACGGCGUCUGAGCCCCGGGUGGAGCGGAGGCGCGGAGUUCUGGGUUUAAGCAGCGGUCCCUCCGUCUGAAUGGGAGGACAUCGUUUCCCUCCCCAUUGAGACUGCACCGUGGAGCAGCAUGAAAGGAUUGCUGUACAGCUGUGCUGGGGCUUCAAGGACAUUAGAGAAAGGAGCAAAACAAGCCCAAGAUCCCAGCAGUUGUGUUCUGAGGACAGGCAUUCCUGAUUGGUUUCCCAAAGUGCAUGACUGGAAUCCACUUUCUCUCCAUACAGGAUGUAGCAGAGAACAGUGCCUCUUCUGAGCCCUUUUCAAAGAAAGAAACGACAUCUCCCGUGAUUCUCCUCAAAGCCCUAGUUUCAAAUCCUCCUUAAAUGCCCUGUAGUCCAGCAGCACAGUCACCAAAUCAGAUCCCAAAGGUACUCUGGUGUGAGCAAGAGCUUAGGGUGAAAUCUGCCAUUCAACUCCUCUGGUUGGAAGUGGAAAGACCUAUCCGUCUGUUCUGGGGACCAGACUUUGUUUUGAGUUUCUGACAUUUAAACUGUUUGUACUGGACUAUAAGUACAAAAUAAAAGAAUUAAAAAAAAAAAAGAGAAAGAGAUAAAA